UCCUACGGGAGGCAGCAGUGGGGAAUUUUCCGCAAUGGGCGAAAGCCUGACGGAGCAACGCCGCGUGAGGGAUGAAGGCCUCUGGGCUGUAAACCUCUUUUAUCAAGGAAGAAGAUCUGACGGUACUUGAUGAAUAAGCCACGGCUAAUUCCGUGCCAGCAGCCGCGGUAAUACGGGAGUGGCAAGCGUUAUCCGGAAUUAUUGGGCGUAAAGCGUCCGCAGGCGGCCCUACAAGUCUGCUGUUAAAAAGUGGAGCUUAACUCCAUCAUGGCAGUGGAAACUGUUGGGCUUGAGUGUGGUAGGGGCAGAGGGAAUUCCCGGUGUAGCGGUGAAAUGCGUAGAUAUCGGGAAGAACACCAGUGGCGAAGGCGCUCUGCUGGGCCAUCACUGACGCUCAUGGACGAAAGCCAGGGGAGCGAAAGGGAUUAGAUACCCCUGUAGUCCUGGCCGUAAACGAUGAACACUAGGUGUCGGGGGAAUCGACCCCUCCGGUGUCGUAGCCAACGCGUUAAGUGUUUCGCCUGGGGAGUACGCACGCAAGUGUGAAACUCAAAGGAAUUGACGG
rnacentral:rRNA from 1 species